UACGAAGGGGGCAAGCGUUGUUCGGAAUUAUUGGGCGUAAAGAGCUCGUAGGCGGUGUGUCGCGUCGGCCGUGAAAACCUGCAGCUUAACUGUGGGCUUGCGGUCGAUACGGGCAUCACUGGAGUUCGGCAGGGGAGACUGGAAUUCCUGGUGUAGCGGUGAAAUGCGCAGAUAUCAGGAGGAACACCGAUGGCGAAGGCAGGUCUCUGGGCAUUAACUGACGCUGAGGAGCGAAAGCAUGGGGAGCGAACAGG
rnacentral:rRNA from 1 species